AACUACAUCCCCAGCCCACUUCUUGACUUUUGACUGACAGCAGGAUGACAUCAGAUUUUCAAGUCCUCACUGGCAUGACAACUCUAGUCGCUUUGACCCAUGCUGACCUAAUUGAAACCUGUUCUUAUAGAUUUUAUGGAAAGGGGCAUUUCCAGGCCUGCAUUUUUCCUGCAGAUAACAAGUUGUUUGCUGAGGAAUGCAACAUAUCCUGUGAACUUAAGCCUUGCAUGGCUGCAGGCCAAGUUAUCUGUCCUUAAGUACACAUGCCACAGGAAUGAAGUAAUUGCGGAUUUGGGGAAGCAUCCAGAAGACCCUUGACUAUCUUUUAAGACUACAAGUGAAUUAUGAUCCCCUGACAAGACACAGUUGGAAUGUAGACUUUGAAUCACUCCUUUAAAAGCCCUUUGUUCCCUCUGAUGGUCAGAAUCACAGCCUCUGGGACAGGAGUCCCCUG